rnacentral:rRNA from 1 species
GCUAGCGGCAGGCCUAACACAUGCAAGUCGAACGGUAACAGGGAAAAGCUUGCUUUUCCGCUGACGAGUGGCGCACGGGUGCGUAACGCGUAUACAAUCUACCUCUUACAGGGGGAUAGCCUUUAGAAAUGAAGAUUAAUACCCCAUGGCAUUAUAAACCGGCAUCGGUUUAUAAUUAAAGUUUCGGCGGUAGGAGAUGGGUAUGCGUUCUAUUAGCUAGUAGGUGUGGUAACGGCACACCUAGGCAACGAUAGAUAGGGGCCCUGAGAGGGGGAUCCCCCACACUGGUACUGAGACACGGACCAGACUCCUACGGGAGGCAGCAGUGAGGAAUAUUGGACAAUGGGCGGAAGCCUGAUCCAGCCAUGCCGCGUGCAGGAAGACUGCCCUAUGGGUUGUAAACUGCUUUUGUACAGGAAGAAACCUUUCCACGUGUGGAGAGCUGACGGUACUGUAAGAAUAAGCAUCGGCUAACUCCGUGCCAGCAGCCGCGGUAAUACGGAGGAUGCAAGCGUUAUCCGGAAUCAUUGGGUUUAAAGGGUCCGUAGGUGGAUUGGUCAGUCAGAGGUGAAAUCCUGCAGCUCAACUGUAGAACUGCCUUUGAUACUGCCGGUCUUGAAUUAU